GCCCGGUUAGCUCAAUCGGUAGAGCGUGAGACUCUUAAUCUCAAGGUUGCGGGUUCGACCCCCGCAUUG
rnacentral:tRNA from 1 species